rnacentral:rRNA from 1 species
UAGGGAAUCUUCGGCAAUGGACGAAAGUCUGACCGAGCAACGCCGCGUGAGUGAAGAAGGUUUUCGGAUCGUAAAACUCUGUUGUUAGAGAAGAACAAGGACGUUAGUAACUGAACGUCCCCUGACGGUAUCUAACCAGAAAGCCACGGCUAACUACGUGCCAGCAGCCGCGGUAAUACGGAGGGUGCAAGCGUUAAUCGGAAUUACUGGGCGUAAAGCGCACGCAGGCGGUCUGUCAAGUCGGAUGUGAAAUCCCCGGGCUCAACCUGGGAACUGCAUUCGAAACUGGCAGGCUAGAGUCUUGUAGAGGGGGGUAGAAUUCCAGGUGUAGCGGUGAAAUGCGUAGAGAUCUGGAGGAAUACCGGUGGCGAAGGCGGCCCCCUGGACAAAGACUGACGCUCAGGUGCGAAAGCGUGGGGAGCAAACAGG